UAGGGAAUAUUGCGCAAUGGGGGAAACCCUGACGCAGCAACGCCGCGUGAAGGAUGAAGGCCUUCGGGUCGUAAACUUCUGUCAGGUGGGAAGAAGGCUCGAUCGAUUAAGAGUCAGUCGAGUUUGACGGUACCACCAGAGGAAGCCCCGGCUAACUCCGUGCCAGCAGCCGCGGUAAUACGGAGGGGGCAAGCGUUAUUCGGAUUUAUUGGGCGUAAAGGGCGUGUAGGCGGCUUGAUAAGUCGAAGGUGAAAUCCCAUGGCUCAACCAUGGAACUGCCUUCGAAACUGUCUAGCUAGAGUUCGGGAGAGGGUAGUGGAAUUCCCAGUGUAGCGGUGAAAUGCGUAGAUAUUGGGAGGAACACCAGUGGCGAAGGCGACUACCUGGACCGAUACUGACGCUGAGGCGCGAAAGCGUGGGUAGCAAACAGGAUUAGAUACCCCCGUAGUCC
rnacentral:rRNA from 1 species